UUAAAACAACAGCAAGCAACAGAGGCAAAAUGACAACUUGCCGUUCACUUUCAAACAGAGUGGGCAUUUUGCAACGACAAGAGACAACAGUCGCUCUGCUGCUAACUAGGCGGGGCCAAAAUACACUUGA